UACGUAGGGUGCAAGCGUUGUCCGGAAUUAUUGGGCGUAAAGAGCUCGUAGGCGGUUUGUCGCGUCUGCUGUGAAAACUCGGGGCUUAACUCCGGGCCUGCAGUGGGUACGGGCAGACUAGAGUGCGGUAGGGGAGACUGGAAUUCCUGGUGUAGCGGUGAAAUGCGCAGAUAUCAGGAGGAACACCGGUGGCGAAGGCGGGUCUCUGGGCAGUAACUGACGCUGAGGAGCGAAAGCGUGGGUAGCGAACAGG
rnacentral:rRNA from 1 species